CAUGCGAGUGCAUUCCACCAAGUGCACCCGAGAACCACCACAGAAAAGGAAAGUGACGUGUAAAGCAGGCGCCCAUGGCCUAUGUGGACGUGCUCCAGCUGCUCCAGCUCGCCUACCACGGAAGCAAAGAUGAGCGGACGCGGGCGACGACGGAGUUGGAGGCGUCAAUGCAGUCUCCAGAGACGGGGCCCACCUGCCUCCUCACACUGCUGCGCACCGGUGUUGAGCCCUCGUUGCCUGCAGAGCAGAGCCUUUCCGCGCUGCUGUUUGCCAAGAACGCCAUGCUCCACCUCAUCGGAGACGACGUCGUGACCAACACGCCCGGCUUUUUGGCAGAGAUGGAGUCGCUGCUGUUCGCUGGCAUGUUCCGCGUGUCGGAGAGGCACCGCCGCGUUCUGCGAGCGUGCAUCAUGAAUGUGACGAGCGGAUUUGAGUGGAACUAUCUUGGGGAGCUGAUGCCUUUUAUUGACCGUGACCUGAACGCCGUCGGCGUGGAUGAGUCCCUGGGGGCGCUGGAGCUCCUUUACGCGUACGCAAAGCGCUUCAAGACACCAGGGCUCGAGCCUACGCCGCUGAAGCUGCAGGUGUGUGCGGUGCUGGUGCGCAAGCUGCCGGAGUACGUUGGGUACGACGACAUGCGUGUGUACCGUUUGGUCUUCAAGCUGAGCGAGUGUAUUGUGGAGAGUGGGCUGCAGCUGACGAGCUCAAAGGAGAUGAGCGGCGACGCGUUGGAUGGACUCUUUCAGCUCAUGCUGGCCUUUCCUCAGCAGCACUACGAGGCCGCGCUGGCCGCAGGCGGCACGGUGUACGGAGAGUACGUCAAGUGUCUCAAACGCAUUUCCAUGGUCUCGUACUCCAUCAUCAACGACGCGACGCGACGCAAAAAGCCGGCCCCGGUGGCGAAGCGUUUCUUGCAGGCCCACAGCGCCGCCUUCCUCUCCACGUGGAGGCAGUGGCUGCAACUGUGUGUGUCGUCGACGGAUCGGCGCACGCAUCAAAAGUCGGAGAUGUUUGCGCUGCGCUACGUGAAGCUGUGCACUUUGGAUGAGACUCUCUACACGCAGCACCUGCGUCCGCACGCGAUGGAGCUGGUCGAGCAGCUGCUUUUCCCGUAUAUGUGCUUCAAUGAGGUCGACGAGGAGGUCUUCGCCGAUGAAGGCGACCUGGCCGACUACGUCAAAUAUAUGGUGGAUGAGAGCUUAGGCAACGCUGAGUUGUCGACGCGCCAGGCCGCCUCCAAUACGAUUUUGGCGCUUCUGAGUAGCAAGAAGAAGUUUCACGAUCCUGCGCCGCUGCUGCAGGCGCUGCUCGGCAUUCUCACGGCCGGCUUCGAGUCCGCGGACCUCACGACGGAGGCCGGCAAGGCGCGCCUGUUUGGCUUCCUGCACCUGCUCUCCAUCCUGCGCAAGUUUCUAAAGGAGGUGCCCGCGAUUUGGGAGGGGCAAAUGGCGCAGGUGCUCGUACGCUACGUCGCCCCGUUCCUGCAGCCGUCGACUCCGUGUGUUGGCGUUCGCUGCAAGGCCAUCGUCGUGUGUCAACGCUACAGCAAGGUGCUCAUGCCAUCAGAGGCAGACUUCGCCUCCUUUAUUCAGAUGAUGUGUGGCCUCAUUCAGGACGCCGACAUGCGAGUGCGGCUGGCCGGCAUUGAUGCCAUGUGCACGUUGCUGGAGCUGAAGCGCGCGCGGCAGUACCUGAAGCCGAUCGUUGUCCCGCUCGUUGAGGAAUGUCUCGCGUUUCUCGGCAAGGUGCAGACCACCUUUGUGCCGCUGGUGAUCCUGCACCUGACCACGCAGUUUGCGCCGGAGAUGACGCCGGUAAUGGGAAAGCUGGCCCACACCCUCGUCCAACAUUUUUUGGCGACCAUGCAUGACAUGGAGCUGCAGGAGGCAGACGGGAACGGCGGCCUGGGCGACGACGAGAUGGGUGUGAGCGUGUACGAGCAGGCCGCGUUCAGCGCGGAUGCGCUGCUGGACGCGGUCCUCACCGUUGUCACGAGCUGCGGAGAAAAUGACGCAGCGUUCACGAGCGUGCGCGUUGACGCGCUGCGUCUGGUGAAGCAUGUACUGCAGCAGCCUGACAGCUUCGACAUGAUGGAGAAGACGCUGUCGAUCUUGCUGCACGUUCUCUACUUCUCCAAGCCGAUCCCACCGGAGUGCUGGGAGCUGUUGCCUCUCAUCUACGCACUGGUGGAUUCCGGCAUCGGCGUCGACUUCUUUAACUCGAUUGAGGAAGUGCUGGACAACUUCGUCUCUGGUGCCCCGGCCGAGUUCCUCGGCGACACAGCUUUGAUGACCGCCACCUACAAAACGUGCGAGAAGAUGCUGAUUGGGGGCGUGGUGUGCGUAGCGGAGUGCCAGAUGGCACCGGCGCAGCUCAUCGAAGCCAUGCUUCACACGGCCAAGGCAGACACGGAGCACCCCGGGCUGUUCGACCCGUACCUUUCGCAGUUUGUGGGACUGCUCCUGAAGUCCUUGCUUCACCCCGACAUUCAGGGCGGUGACGUGCGUGUGCGCAUCUGGGUCAUCGCGGCGCUGCUGGACUGCUUCUACUACGACGCCGCAGCCACCUUUAACGUUAUUGUGCAGGUCAACGCCUACCCCAGCUUCUUCGAUGGUCUCCUGUUCCUCUUCCGAGGUUGCAUCGAUGAUGGCGCCUCUUUCUCCGCGUCUGGGGCUAGCAGUGCCGGCCGUCGCAAAAAGAAGGUGAAGAAGGACGACGCAGGGGAGGUAGUCGAGAACCUGUCGCUGCUGACGCGAAAGGUGACCAUCCUUGGCCUGUCCUCGCUGCUCGCAUACGCCACCGACCCGCACCUCGCGACGCCGCCGCCGCCGCGGGCAGACUUCGCUUCUCGUUAUUUGGAUCCUCUGACGCGCCUUGUUCAGUACUGCAUUUUCACCAACGAAGCAACCUACGCACCCCGAUGUGCGACGUCGGAGGCAAAUCUGGAGAAGAUUAGGCUUGGCGUCGAGGAAGACAUCGAGGACUGUGAGAUCAGCGACGAGGCAGUGCUAGGCGUGGACGGCGGCGAUGACACUAUGGAGGCCUGCGAGGACGCGUUGGAGGACAUGGACGACGAUCUAGCAGCCGCGCAGGCGGGCGUCGAGCUGGACGAGGGUGACGACUAUGAGAGCCCAAUUGAUGACAUCAACGAGGUCGAGUUUUUUCUCAACUGGGUGCGCAUGCUGCCACAGCUCAGCCCAGCCGCUCAAGCCGCGGCGCAUGCCGUGCUCCGCCCGGAAAGCGACUACUUGCGUGCCUCCCACACCGCUGGUCGCUAUCGGCAGCUGUGCAAGGAGCUGGAGGCAGCCAUGAAGGAAGACUUCCGGAAGCGUGCGGAGCUGACCGCAUAGUCCAUGGAGGGGGAAGCGCAGUGACGAGUGGCACCGGCAGGGUGACGGCGAAUCUGUUAACAUCGAAUAAUAAGGAAGAAGAGGAGGUAAGAAGACGUGAACGCAUCCGCGUGGUGCCCGCUGCUCUCCGCCCUCCGUGAAACCUUCUCCGAUGUGUCUGAGUCUGCAUAUGUACUUGUGCACACGGUGCGUAAACACAAGGCCGAUAACCGCUUUUCGGAAACAAGCUAUCUCCUCCGCAGACACACCGUCGUUUGUUUUGCUUGUGUGAUGAACACAUGCACCCCACCCACUCUCCUCCACUCGAAAUAGCUGUCGGAGUGCGGAAACGUCAAGUGGAUUGUGUCGUCAGGGCCCCGAUCGCCUGUCUUGCAAGCUGUAAAGCGAAACGAAAAAAAA
rnacentral:misc_RNA from 1 species